rnacentral:rRNA from 1 species
UACGGAGGGUGCGAGCGUUGUCCGGAAUCACUGGGCGUAAAGGGCGCGUAGGUGGCGCGACAAGUCAACGGUGAAAGCUCGGCGCUCAACGCCGAGUCGGCCGUCGAUACUGUUGGGCUUGAGCACUGUAGAGGCUAAUGGAAUUCCGGGUGUAGCGGUGGAAUGCGUAGAGAUCCGGAAGAACACCGGUGGCGAAGGCGGUUAGCUGGGCAGUGCUGGACACUGAGGCGCGACAGCGUGGGAGCAACAGG